UAGGGCAACGCGACUCGUAGGCGAUCUUCCGAGCGGAAUGUCUUCCGGAAGGACUUUUUAUGAGAAAUCGGUUCCUAUUUAGGUGUUACAAACGCAGGAAACUCCACGUGAUUGGCCCGUUGACCAAGCGCAAACCCGCGACCAACUAUUAAUGUUCGAUGUAUCCACUAAAGCUCUGUAAGAUGGGUCUGGCACUAAGGAGAUAUUUUUCACAUCCAUCAUGGUUUCGACCGGGCCUACAAUGGGAAUAGGUACAAUCGAAUAUUUAGGGACGUGGUCCGAUACAUUUUGAACCCACCGCUGACGAAAACUUCCUGGAGAGUUGCCGGCCUGAAUUCGAUUCCGGGUCCUCCGGAGCAGUUGGCUAAUGUCUAACCUCCUCGGUAGAGCUCCGCUGGACCAAAAUUUUGAUAUGGAUAACGACAUUGAGUUUGAUCCCCAGAUUACUUAGAUAUUGGAUAAAUACUGAAAAUUACCAGCACGGCACUAUUACUCGGUCAUUCGUCCGGCAUCUCUCGAUUCGCAUCAACACAAAUACGAGUUAUCUUUCAAUGCUAAUAACCAGUUUUACGGAUCGGCAUCUUUUGUAUAGUUUUGUUUUAAUCGAAGCUAAAAAAAAUGAAAAAUACAAAUACUUUAGGGAAACGACGAGAAAUUCGAGCGAAAGCGCUCCGUGCGAGAUUCGUAGUUUAAAUCUGAAUUAAAAUUAAUAAUCAAACAAUAAAAUUAAUUCAAGAAUUGAGGCUUCGCUAUUCGAACCAAGAAAGCUUAUUUUUCUUUUUUUAAAUUAAAUUAAAUAUUUUUUGGCUAUUUUUUUGGAUGCGUAAGGACGUAAUCGGGCAUGCGGCGAUCCAGCUGGGAAUAUCGAACACGUGAGUGGUAGCGCUGUUUCUUUCGAUUUGUAGUAAAGCUUUAAACACUCGUAUUUAUAUUCGUGACAAAUUUAGCUAUAUAAAGAAAAACAAGAAUGACUAUUUAAAAUACGUAGAUGGGAAAUCAUGCAGCAGUUUGAAAUUCUUUAGGUCUUUUCCAAGUAAUCUUGAAAAUCAGAAAAGACAUUACUUUAUUGGAUCAAAAAUAAAAUG